CCUACGGGUGGCAGCAGUGGGGAAUAUUGCGCAAUGGGCGAAAGCCUGACGCAGCGACGCCGCGUGAGGGAUGAAGGUCUUCGGAUCGUAAACCUCUGUCAGCAGGGAAGAACGGGUACUGUGUAAAUCAGCAGUGAAUUGACGGUACCUGCAAAGGAAGCACCGGCUAACUCCGUGCCAGCAGCCGCGGUAAUACGGAGGGUGCGAGCGUUAAUCGGAAUUACUGGGCGUAAAGCGCACGUAGGCGGUAUGUCAAGUCAAGUGUGAAAUCCCCGCGCUCAACGUGGGAACUGCAUUUGAAACUGGCAGACUGGAGUGUGUGAGAGGGUAGUAGAAUUCCAGGUGUAGGAGUGAAAUCCGUAGAUAUCUGGAGGAACAUCAGUGGCGAAGGCGACUAUCUGGCACAUGACUGACGCUGAGGAGCGAAAGCGUGGGUAGCAAACAGGAUUAGAUACCCGAGUAGUC
rnacentral:rRNA from 1 species